rnacentral:rRNA from 1 species
GACGAACGCUGGCGGCGUGCUUAACACAUGCAAGUCGAGCGGUAAGGCCCUUUCGGGGUACGACGAGCGGCGAACGGGUGAGUAACACGUGGGUGACCUGCCCUUACGCUCUGGGAUAAGCCUGGGAAACGUAGGGUCUAAUACCGGAUAUGACUCCAUGACGCAUGUUGUGGGGUGGAAAGCCUUGUGCGGCUAGGGAUGGGCCCGCGG